CCAUGGUCACAUGACGCAGGUAUUUCACAGGGCUAGUAAAAAUGGCUUUCUAUAGUGCGCAGUGCUUUCUACAAUAGUUUUAAAUAAAGUUGUGGGCUUUGGUCAACAUGUGACAUAGUGAUAAGACUGUGAUAUAAAUACAGUGAUUCUAGGAUAGUGAAUUAUGUAUAGUUCUGGUAUUUAGAAGUAACAGUCCAGGAAAAGCUGCGCAGUGGAUGGGCAGGUCCAUUCGUGAAAGUUGAGGGGUGUUGUGAUUAGUCACUUGUUUGUUUUCAGUGCGAGCAGACAUCUCAAGUUUGAUGCCACCUACAUGAAGUGAAUUGAGUGGACUUUUCCCUUGUGAACAAACUGAAUAAUUCAACAUUUUUGCAACUUCUGCUGCCUGUUCCCUGUCUGAGGGUGGCAAAUAUUUGAGUCUCCAAACCAAAGACAAACCAAUCCACAACAUACAUCCAAUUUUAUUUGUGGUUUACUUAACAAUGCUGUCAGUAACUCCAACUGCAUGGCUUUGAAUGACUGAAUAAUGAAUGAUGAAUUGGAAAAGAUGUGGAAGGAGCUGGUCCACAACCUAAUUUAGCAGAACCAACCCAGCAUUUGCCUGAGAAGACUGAAAAAACAGCAUAAAAAAUCUGUCACAAUAGUUGGUGUCCUGGUCGAGAUUCAAAAUGGGAACCUUUGAAUACAAGUUAAAAGUGUUACAAUCUGAGCCAACCUUCCUGGUAACACUCACCCAAGAAAUGCAAAACAAUGGCCCAAAUCACCAUGAAAGCCUAAAGCCUUCUAUAUACAGAAAUAUGUUGAAAAGGGCUGUGAAAUAAAUAAGAA